UUGAACUACAUUUCCCAGGAGCCCACUUACUUCCUGUCAUUGAGGCUAAGCCUCUUUGCUUCCUGUUGGCAACUGUGAUGGAGCGGGCUGUUUGAACAGGCAUCCCUAUUCCCUGAGACACAACAAAAUUGAAAUUAAGCCAAUUAAUAAACCUACAAUGGCCUCUAAGUGUUCCAAGUAAAAGGAAGAGUCAAUCGAUGUGGCAAACUUCAUUACUGUCUUGUUUUAAGAAAUUGCCACAGACACCCUAACCUUCAGCAACCACCACCCGAUCAGUCAGCAGCCAUCACCACUGAGGCAAGAUCUUCCACUAGCAGAGAUCUGAAGGUGGAGAUAAUGCAACAGUCUUCGCCAUGCCUCACCUUACCAUUCUCCAGAAAUAGGAAAUGUAACUACUCCCAUCAGUCUCUAUGGGGACCAGGACUCCAUCUAUCCUUGGUAAGAAAGAGCUACUAGACUCCUCACCCUAAGGUUGCAAUGUUUUCUGCCCUUAGCCUUCAAAUAAAUGUCAU
rnacentral:lncRNA from 1 species